rnacentral:rRNA from 1 species
GUGGGGAAUCUUGCGCAAUGGGCGAAAGCCUGACGCAGCCAUGCCGCGUGAAUGAUGAAGGUCUUAGGAUUGUAAAAUUCUUUCACCGGGGACGAUAAUGACGGUACCCGGAGAAGAAGCCCCGGCUAACUUCGUGCCAGCAGCCGCGGUAAGACAGAGGAUGCAAGCGUUAUCCGGAAUGAUUGGGCGUAAAGCGUCUGUAGGUGGCUUGGUAAGUCAGAUGUGAAAGCCUGGGGCUUAACCCCAGAAGUGCAUUUGAUACUGCUGAGCUUGAGUGCUGGAGAGGCUAUUAGAAUUCCUGGUGUAGUGGUGAAAUACGUAGAUAUCAGGAGGAAUACCGGAGGCGAAGGCGGAUAGCUGGCCAGACACUGACACUCAGACCCGAAAGCGUGGGGAUCAAACAGGAUUAGAUACCCUGGUAGUCC